ACUCAAAGGAAUUGACGGGGGCCCGCACAAGCAGCGGAGCAUGUGGUUUAAUUCGAAGCAACGCGAAGAACCUUACCAGGUCUUGACAUCUAUUGACCGUCUGAGAGAUCAGAUUUUCCCUUCGGGGACAAUAAGACAGAUGGUGCAUGGUUGUCGUCAGCUCGUGUCGUGAGAUGUUGGGUUAAGUCCCGCAACGAGCGCAACCCUUAUGUUUAGUUGCCAUCAUUCAGUUGGGCACUCUAAACAGACUGCCCGUGAAAGCGGGAGGAAGGUGGGGAUGACGUCAAAUCAUCAUGCCUCUUACGACCUGGGCUACACACGUGCUACAAUGGUCUGUACAAAGGGUAGCCAAGCAGUGAUGCGGAGCCAAUCUCAUAAAACAGACCUCAGUUCGGAUUGCAGGCUGCAACUCGCCUGCAUGAAGUCGGAGUUGCUAGUAAUCGCGAAUCAGAACGUCGCGGUGAAUGCGUUCCCGGGCCUUGUACACACCGCCCGU
rnacentral:rRNA from 1 species